GACGAACGCUGGCGGCGUGCUUAACACAUGCAAGUCGAACGGAAAGGCCCUGCUUUUGUGGGGUGCUCGAGUGGCGAACGGGUGAGUAACACGUGAGUAACCUGCCUUGACUUUGGGAUAACUUCAGGAAACUGGGGCUAAUACCGGAUAGGAGCUCCUGCUGCAUGGUGGGGGUUGGAAAGUUUCGGCGGUUGGGGAUGGACUCGCGGCUUAUCAGCUUGUUGGUGGGGUAGUGGCUUACCAAGGCUUUGACGGGUAGCCGGCCUGAGAGGGUGACCGGCCACAUUGGGACUGAGAUACGGCCCAGACUCCUACGGGAGGCAGCAGUGGGGAAUAUUGCACAAUGGGCGGAAGCCUGAUGCAGCAACGCCGCGUGCGGGAUGACGGCCUUCGGGUUGUAAACCGCUUUCGCCUGUGACGAAGCGUGAGUGACGGUAAUGGGGAAAGAAGCACCGGCGAACUACGU
rnacentral:rRNA from 1 species